AACGAACGCUGGCGGCAGGCUUAACACAUGCAAGUCGAACGCCCCGCAAGGGGAGUGGCAGACGGGUGAGUAACGCGUGGGAAUCUACCCAGUUCUACGGAACAACAGUUGGAAACGACUGCUAAUACCGUAUACGCCCUACGGGGGAAAGAUUUAUCGGAAUUGGACGAGCCCGCGUAAGAUUAGCUAGUUGGUGGGGUAAUGGCCUACCAAGGCGACGAUCUUUAGCUGGUCUGAGAGGAUGAUCAGCCACACUGGGACUGAGACACGGCCCAGACUCCUACGGGAGGCAGCAGUGGGGAAUAUUGGACAAUGGGCGCAAGCCUGAUCCAGCCAUGCCGCGUGAGUGAUGAAGGCCUUAGGGUUGUAAAGCUCUUUCACCGAUGAAGAUAAUGACGGUAGUCGGAGAAGAAGCCCCGGCUAACUUCGUGCCAGCAGCCGCAGUAAAAC
rnacentral:rRNA from 1 species